rnacentral:rRNA from 1 species
UACCAGCACCCCGAGUGGUCGGGACGUUUAUUGGGCCUAAAGCAUCCGUAGCCGGUUCUACAAGUCUUCCGUUAAAUCCACCUGCUUAACAGAUGGGCUGCGGAAGAUACUAUAGAGCUAGGAGGCGGGAGAGGCAAGCGGUACUCGAUGGGUAGGGGUAAAAUCCGUUGAUCCAUUGAAGACCACCAGUGGCGAAGGCGGAUUGCCAGAACGCGCUCGACGGUGAGGGAUGAAAGCUGGGGGAGCAAACCGG